UUAAGUUAUUAAGGGCGCACGGUGGAUGCCUUGGCACUAGAAGCCGAUGAAGGACGUUACUAACGACGAUAUGCUUUGGGGAGCUGUAAGUAAGCUUUGAUCCAGAGAUUUCCGAAUGGGGAAACCCAGCAUGAGUUAUGUCAUGUUAUCGAUAUGUGAAUACAUAGCAUAUCAGAAGGCACACCCGGAGAACUGAAACAUCUUAGUACCCGGAGGAAGAGAAAGAAAAUUCGAUUCCCUUAGUAGCGGCGAGCGAAACGGGAAGAGCCCAAACCAACAAGCUUGCUUGUUGGGGUUGUAGGACACUCUAUACGGAGUUACAAAGGACGACAUUAGACGAAUCAUCUGGAAAGAUGAAUCAAAGAAGGUAAUAAUCCUGUAGUCGAAAAUGUUGUCUCUCUUGAGUGGAUCCUGAGUACGACGGAGCACGUGAAAUUCCGUUGGAAUCUGGGAGGACCAUCUCCUAAGGCUAAAUACUCUCUAGUGACCGAUAGUGAACCAGUACCGUGAGGGAAAGGUGAAAAGCACCCCGGAAGGGGAGUGAAAUAGAACCUGAAACCGUGUGCUUACAAGUAGUCAGAGCCCGUUAAUGGGUGAUGGCGUGCCUUUUGUAGAAUGAACCGGCGAGUUACGAUUUGAUGCAAGGUUAAGCAGUAAAUGUGGAGCCGUAGCGAAAGCGAGUCUGAAUAGGGCGUUUAGUAUUUGGUCGUAGACCCGAAACCAGGUGAUCUACCCUUGGUCAGGUUGAAGUUCAGGUAACACUGAAUGGAGGACCGAACCGACUUACGUUGAAAAGUGAGCGGAUGAACUGAGGGUAGCGGAGAAAUUCCAAUCGAACCUGGAGAUAGCUGGUUCUCUCCGAAAUAGCUUUAGGGCUAGCCUCAAGUGAUGAUUAUUGGAGGUAGAGCACUGUUUGGACGAGGGGCCCCUCUCGGGUUACCGAAUUCAGACAAACUCCGAAUGCCAAUUAAUUUAACUUGGGAGUCAGAACAUGGGUGAUAAGGUCCGUGUUCGAAAGGGAAACAGCCCAGACCACCAGCUAAGGUCCCAAAAUAUAUGUUAAGUGGAAAAGGAUGUGGCGUUGCCCAGACAACUAGGAUGUUGGCUUAGAAGCAGCCAUCAUUUAAAGAGUGCGUAAUAGCUCACUAGUCGAGUGACACUGCGCCGAAAAUGUACCGGGGCUAAACAUAUUACCGAAGCUGUGGAUUGUCCUUUGGACAAUGGUAGGAGAGCGUUCUAAGGGCGUUGAAGCAUGAUCGUAAGGACAUGUGGAGCGCUUAGAAGUGAGAAUGCCGGUGUGAGUAGCGAAAGACGGGUGAGAAUCCCGUCCACCGAUUGACUAAGGUUUCCAGAGGAAGGCUCGUCCGCUCUGGGUUAGUCGGGUCCUAAGCUGAGGCCGACAGGCGUAGGCGAUGGAUAACAGGUUGAUAUUCCUGUACCACCUAUAAUCGUUUUAAUCGAUGGGGGGACGCAGUAGGAUAGGCGAAGCGUGCGAUUGGAUUGCACGUCUAAGCAGUAAGGCUGAGUAUUAGGCAAAUCCGGUACUCGUUAAGGCUGAGCUGUGAUGGGGAGAAGACAUUGUGUCUUCGAGUCGUUGAUUUCACACUGCCGAGAAAAGCCUCUAGAUAGAAAAUAGGUGCCCGUACCGCAAACCGACACAGGUAGUCAAGAUGAGAAUUCUAAGGUGAGCGAGCGAACUCUCGUUAAGGAACUCGGCAAAAUGACCCCGUAACUUCGGGAGAAGGGGUGCUCUUUAGGGUUAACGCCCAGAAGAGCCGCAGUGAAUAGGCCCAAGCGACUGUUUAUCAAAAACACAGGUCUCUGCUAAACCGUAAGGUGAUGUAUAGGGGCUGACGCCUGCCCGGUGCUGGAAGGUUAAGAGGAGUGGUUAGCUUCUGCGAAGCUACGAAUCGAAGCCCCAGUAAACGGCGGCCGUAACUAUAACGGUCCUAAGGUAGCGAAAUUCCUUGUCGGGUAAGUUCCGACCCGCACGAAAGGCGUAACGAUUUGGGCACUGUCUCAACGAGAGACUCGGUGAAAUCAUAGUACCUGUGAAGAUGCAGGUUACCCGCGACAGGACGGAAAGACCCCGUGGAGCUUUACUGUAGCCUGAUAUUGAAAUUCGGCACAGCUUGUACAGGAUAGGUAGGAGCCUUUGAAACGUGAGCGCUAGCUUACGUGGAGGCGCUGGUGGGAUACUACCCUAGCUGUGUUGGCUUUCUAACCCGCACCACUUAUCGUGGUGGGAGACAGUGUCAGGCGGGCAGUUUGACUGGGGCGGUCGCCUCCUAAAAGGUAACGGAGGCGCUCAAAGGUUCCCUCAGAAUGGUUGGAAAUCAUUCAUAGAGUGUAAAGGCAUAAGGGAGCUUGACUGCGAGACCUACAAGUCGAG
rnacentral:rRNA from 1 species